rnacentral:rRNA from 1 species
ACUCAAAGGAAUAGACGGGGACCCGCACAAGCGGUGGAGCAUGUGGAUUAAUUCGAAGCAACGCGAAGAACCUUACCAAGGCUUGACAUCCCGAUGAAUGUCAUAGAGAUAUGGCAGGCCCUUCGGGGACAUUGGAGACAGGUGGUGCAUGGUUGUCGUCAGCUCGUGUCGUGAGAUGUUGGGUUAAGUCCCGCAACGAGCGCAACCCCUAUCUUUAGUAGCCAUCGCGUAGAGGCGGGCACUUUAGAGAGACUGCCGUAGCAAUAUGGAGGAAGGUGGGGACGAUGUCAAAUCAUCAUGCCCCUUAUGUCUUGGGCGUCACACGUGCUACAAUGGCUCACACAAAGUGAGGCGAACCCGCGAGGGGGAGCAAAUCACAAAAAGGAGUCCCAGUUCGGAUUGCAGGCUGCAACCCGCCUGCAUGAAGUUGGAAUCGCUAGUAAUCGCGAAUCAGCACGUCGCGGUGAAUACGUUCCCGGGUCUUGCACACACCGCCCGU